UUUUUGCCAAAAACACCAGUCAGAAAAGCGACGCCGUCUUUUCUUGAACAUACUUUAUGCUAACCUUUGCAUUACUUGGAACUCAAUGAGGCAGACUGAAGGGGAAAUCAUGGCUGUCUGUACAAAAGACUUGUUCAAGUUCUUCACAUCUGAGGAAAACAGAAUCUAAAGAUAUUUCAGUAUUUACAAGCUUGGUGGAACAGGGGAAUGCUGUGGACAUGCAAUAGUGUAUAUUGAUUUCAGGAAGGCUUUUGACAAAGUCCCCCAUGAUAUUCUCACGAGGAAGCUGGUAAAAUGUAUGUUGAACAAGGUAACUGUUAGGUGGAUUUGUAGCUGGCGGACUGAACGAACCCAAAGAGAACUCAUUAAUGGUUCCUUGUCCUCCUGGGGGGGGGGAGUGACAAGUGGGGUGCCGCAGGGUUCUGUCCUGGGCCUGUUGUUGUUUUAUGUCUUUAUAAAUGACUUGGAUGAAGGAAUUGAGGGGAUGCUAAUGAAAUUUGCAGAUGACACCAAACAGGGAGUAGCAGCUAAUGUCGCAGAAGACAAUCGUGGGGAAAUCACAGGUUGGCAUAUUGCUUUUGUGCCCACGUCAGGCUUCCCACAGGCAAUCUGUGAGAACAGGAUUCUGGACUAGAUGGGCCAUUGGCCUGAUCCAGCAGGCUCGUCCUAUGUUCUUACAUCCUGUGUGGACUGCCCCCACCUUCCACUGCUGAUGCAUGCUGUAUCUAUGCUUUUCUGCACCAGUGUGCAUGAUGGAAGCACUUUCUCGCCAUCUGGGAAUCAAGGGUUAUAUCCAAUGCUAGUGCUACUCAGAGCUGACUCACUGAAGUUAAUGAACAUGGCUACUUUAGGUACAUUGAUUUCUGUGGUUCUAUUCUGGGGAGGACUAGCAUUGGCAACAACCCUCAGUUGUGAUGGGAGAGGAAAGUGAGGCCAGUCCACACAGCCCCUUCCUUGGAGUUUCACCACAUGGGGAGGGGAAGGUUUACGUGAACGUUUGUACAGUCAGCACUGAAUAGCCUCUCACAAAAUACAGGAAUUAAAAUCGAUUCAUUUCCUUGAAGUUAAUACUCCGAAAUUUGUCAUGCAAUCCAUACCAGACUAUACUGAUUUGAAAAAAAAAACCCUAUACAGUUUUGGGAAAGGUAAACUAGAUAG